rnacentral:rRNA from 1 species
UACGGGGGGGGCAAGCGUUGUUCGGAAUUACUGGGCGUAAAGGGCUCGUAGGUGGCCAACUAAGUCAGACGUGAAAUCCCUCAGCUUAACUGGGGAACUGCGUCUGAUACUGGAUGGCUUGAGUUUGGGAGAGGGAUGCGGAAUUCCAGGUGUAGCGGUGAAAUGCGCAGAUAUCAGGAAGAACACCUAUGGCGAAGGCAGCUCUCUGGGACGGUACUGACGCUGAGACGCGAAAGCGUGGGGAGCGAACAGG